rnacentral:rRNA from 1 species
UACGUAGGGUGCAAGCGUUAUCCGGAAUUAUUGGGCGUAAAGAGCUCGUAGGCGGUUUGUCGCGUCUGCUGUGAAAACCCGAGGCUCAACCUCGGGCCUGCAGUGGGUACGGGCAAACUAGAGUGCGGUAGGGGAGAUUGGAAUUCCUGGUGUAGCGGUGGAAUGCGCAGAUAUCAGGAGGAACACCGAUGGCGAAGGCAGAUCUCUGGGCCGUAACUGACGCUGAGGAAGCGAAAGCAUGGGGAGCGAAACAGG